rnacentral:lncRNA from 1 species
AAACUGAUGGUAAUAGAAAUUUGUAUAAGAUUUGACAGUAAAGUGAGUAAAGGGACAUGGAUCACAAUAAUUUUCAAUUCUUCUCUAUUCUUGCAUGUUUUUAUUUUGUGUUAUUUUUUUCCGUAAUAUUGUUUGUUUGUUUUUUAUACCUUGAUAUUUCCUUAAUAUUGUUUGUUUGUAGUCUAUAGUUUAUUUUCUUUUUUUGUUUUCGUUUCUUUUUUUUUUUUGAACUACUGUCUCAUAGCCGUUCUCUCAAAAUAUCUCCUAUUUUCAAGUGAAAAUUGAAUGGUACCUGAGUUGGGUAAUUUUUGUAUUAGGUAUGAGGGUUUUUAUUUUUCAGUAAUUCAUGUUGAUAUCAUUGGUGUUGGGGUUUUUAUACCACUGAGUACGCUCAUGGAAUAUAAAUCCAUAAUGAAAAUUGAAUAAAAACUCAAUGAAGGAAAUCGAAAAGGGAGGAGUAUUGGAGUUUUGGGAUCCAUAUUUUAGUGGUUUUCGUAACGUACAUAAUUUUGGCAAGCGUGACUUGUUUGUGUUUAUAUUAGAGUUUUAUAACACUAUUUUUUGCACUUAUAUCCAGAUUCGACAGAAUUUGGUUGUAAUGUUUCAAUGAUUGAAUUUCAGAUACGGCUAUUAUAUUCUUCAUUGAAUUACUUUGUGUAAUAACAUUGCAAUAACAUCUUUUUGAUUAGUAACACAUAAACAACUAUACAAUCUGCAAUGUAUUACAUGGUUUCUAUAUAAGUCUGCCUUUCCAAGAAUAAAUCAAUAAUGGUCAUGAAAAAAAUUGAAUAGGUAAGAGUAAUAGGCUCCUUAUCAACAAAAAAGUAUUGGGGUUGUUGUUUUUUGCAAGAUAAUAUCUUGAAUCAUUAUCAUGAAUAAAUAUAUGUUACAACAACCCCAAUUCUAUCAAUUAUUGAAAAAAUUUGUUCUAACUUCCAAAACAUGACAUGCUAUCUUUUCUAUUAGAUGUUUUCUAAAAUAAGUUUUUGAAUUUUCACAAAAAAAAAUUAAAACCAUCCAAGCCUUGUAAGCGAAGACCACUUAAAUGAAAUAAAAUUCAUGUUUUGUUAACUUCAUAGAUUCAAAAAAGAGGUGUCUGUGGCCAAUGCCAUCUCUUGCAAAAUACGUAUUUGAGAUACACACCAUGUUGUUGACUUUGUCAUUUUUAAUCCAUUCAAAGCACUUCUAGCCCUUAAAAUAUGCAUAAAUGACAUUUCAAAUAUCUUAUUUCCUAACUUGAAAAAAGACUCUUGAAAUACUCACAUGGUAAAUGCUAAAGUUGAUUCCUAUUCUAUCAAUCAAGUAUAUAAUUUACAUAAUUUGAUAGAAAAGAAUGACAAAAGACUCUUUCAAAAGGAAAUUGUGUCUGGAACAAACCUGGUAUCAUUGUCUGUUACUGUGCAUACAUUCUUCAAAGUCAAAUUAAGUUGUUGCACUUCAAGUCAAUUAGAAAAUACAGUUUUUUCUCCAUUGAUUUGUUAAAAGGAAAUCCAUUCAAACAUGGGGCCAUUCAAAUAUGUCAACCACAUGUGAGCAAAACAAUUAAUCUUGAUAUUGGUGAUCACAACGACCACUAUUAACAAAUGUUUUGUAGAUGUACCCUUUUGUAGCAUUUGAUCACUUCAACCUCACCACUCUCUAAGCUUGGAAGAAAUAGAAAGCUCCACCCUAGUCCACAUAGGAAGGGGGGAAAUGACCCACAAAUCUAGAAAUAAAACAAAGUGAAAAAAACAAAGUAUUGCUUGUUAAGAAACAUCACCAAAAGUUCCUCAUUCUCCUUCAUCCUUCCUCAAAAGUUUGACCUAAUUUUUCAAUGAAGCUAUUGAAUAACAAACUAGGUCCACCAAGUUCAACUCAUGCAUUGCUGUUGUCAAAGUUGGCUUAAAAUAUCCCGGUUACCGCCAUGUUUGUGGCUUAAGAUAUUUGAAUUUUCAGUCAACUUGCAAGUUCAGGGAACACAGCCACUGGAGGUUGAAUUCAAGGUCUUAUGGAUUGUGACAUAGAACUCAUGAAUAGCAAGGAACACUUGUGAAAAUUUUGUAAAUGUUUACCAACUGUGUGUACCUACACAAACAAAGAAUUAUAAACAAAAUGGCACCAACAUGUCUUUCCGCAACAAA